CACGAGCGUACAUUAAAGUUGCUGCGGGUCAAAAAGCUCGGAGUUGGAUUCCAGUCUAGGAAGGUUAACUCGUCGAAAGGUUGUACGUUGAUUUUCCUCAGACUUCGUCAGAAGCCCUUAACUGUGUGGUACGAUGUUCUGACCUUUCACCUUGAGGAAAGUAUAGUGUUUCAAGCAGGCUACCCAGUUGGAAUACAUUAGCAUGGAAUCAUGAAAUGGAUCUCGGUUCCAUUUCGUUGGUUCUAGAGCAGAGGUGAUGAUCAAUAGGACCAGGCGAAGGUAUUCGUACUUGGGAGUGAGGUGAAAUCCAGUGAUCUCUUAAAGACGAUCCGAGGCGAAAGCAUUUGUCAAGGAUGUUUUCAUUGC
rnacentral:rRNA from 1 species